ACGUGAGUAACCUGCCCUUGACUCUGGGAUAAGCGUUGGAAACGACGUCUAAUACCGGAUAUGACCUGUGACGGCUUCGUCUGCAGGUGGAAAGAAUUUUGGUCAAGGAUGGACUCGCGGCCUAUCAGGUAGUUGGUGAGGUAAUGGCUCACCAAGCCGACGACGGGUAGCCGGCCUGAGAGGGUGACCGGCCACACUGGGACUGAGACACGGCCCAGACUCCUACGGGAGGCAGCAGUGGGGAAUAUUGCACAAUGGGCGAAAGCCUGAUGCAGCAACGCCGCGUGAGGGACGACGGCCUUCGGGUUGUAAACCUCUUUUAGUUGGGAAGAAGGGAGCUUGCUCUUGACGGUACUAGCAGAAAAAGCACCGGCUAACUACGUGCCAGCAGCCGCGGUAAUACGUAGGGUGCAAGCGUUGUCCGGAAUUAUUGGGCGUAAAGAGCUCGUAGGCGGUUUGUCGCGUCUGCUGUGAAAUCUGGGGGCUCAACCCCCAGCCUGCAGUGGGUACGGGCAGACUAGAGUGCGGUAGGGGAGAUUGGAAUUCCUGGUGUAGCGGUGGAAUGCGCAGAUAUCAGGAGGAACACCGAUGGCGAAGGCAGAUCUCUGGGCCGUUACUGACGCUAAGGAGCGAAAGCAUGGGGAGCGAACAGGAUUAGAUACCCUGGUAGUCCAUGCCGUAAACGUUGGGAACUAGAUGUAGGGGCCAUUCCACGGUUUCUGUGUCGCAGCUUACGCAUUAAGUUCCCCGCCUGGGGAGUACGGCCGCAAGGCUAAAACUCAAAGGAAUUGACGGGGGCCCGCACAAGCGGCGGAGCAUGCGGAUUAAUUCGAUGCAACGCGAAGAACCUUACCAAGGCUUGACAUAUACCGGAAACGUCCAGAGAUGGUCGCCCCGCAGGGUCGGUAUACAGGUGGUGCAUGGUUGUCGUCAGCUCGUGUCGUGAGAUGUUGGGUUAAGUCCCGCAACGAGCGCAACCCUCGUUCUAUGUUGCCAGCACGUUAUGGUGGGAACUCAUAGGAGACUGCCGGGGUCACUCGGAGGAAGGGGGGGAUGA
rnacentral:rRNA from 1 species